rnacentral:rRNA from 1 species
AUUGAACGCUGGCGGCAUGCCUUACACAUGCAAGUCGAACGGUAACGGGCCUUCGGGUGCCGACGAGUGGCGAACGGGUGCGUAAUACAUCGGAACGUGCCCGAUCGUGGGGGAUAACGAGGCGAAAGCUUUGCUAAUACCGCAUACGAUCUACGGAUGAAAGCAGGGGACCGCAAGGCCUUGCGCGGACGGAGCGGCCGAUGGCAGAUUAGGUAGUUGGUGGGAUAAAAGCUUACCAAGCCGACGAUCUGUAGCUGGUCUGAGAGGAUGAUCAGCCACACUGGGACUGAGACACGGCCCAGACUCCUACGGGAGGCAGCAGUGGGGAAUUUUGGACAAUGGGCGCAAGCCUGAUCCAGCCAUGCCGCGUGUAGGAUGAAGGCCUUCGGGUUGUAAACUGCUUUUGUACGGAACGAAAAGCCUUCUUUUAAUACAGGGGGGUCAUGACGGUACCGGAAGAAUAAGCACCGGCUAACUACGUG